rnacentral:lncRNA from 1 species
ACUCGUGACGGGUGGUCGUCGCCGGUGUGCUGUGUCGGUCUCCACGCGCUCGAGGCCUGAGGUGCUUCAUUCAAUUUGCCUGUCAGCGAUGAGGAGGUGACGGGAUGGCCCGUUGCAGACUGUCCGUGACGGCUAAGAGCGAUAGGAAAUAGACCCCAGCCCCCGGGAAUGGGAAGUUCUGAAGGACCAAGUUGACAGCUGCAUUCCAUGGUUGAUCUGCCAGCUCUCUCGUUCACGCGGUAGAAUUCCUUGCGAUGGUAAAACAACUCGAGCUAAUGUGACGUGAAUUCUGGGAUGGUUCUGCGGAGGCGGAGAAGUAUUGACUCGAAGGCAAUAAAGGAUAAUACUUGACGAUCAACAAUUAUUCAUGUGCAACGGGUAGACCAACUUCCAUGCGUGCAAUGAAAGUAAUUGAAAAGAAUCGACAGAUGCAAGAUUCAUAUAAAAUAAUCAUUGACUAAACCAAAGAGAAGAUUCGUGCUACAGUAACUCUGAUUCUAGAAAUAAAAAUACUCUUUUUUACACAGAAAAGCGAGGUUGUAAGAAUAACGACAGUAGAAAUUAGCAUGGAUUGUGAAACGCUUACAACAGCCAAGACGUGUCCAGGAUAAGACGGAAGGCCUCGACCUGCCAUCACGGAGAGGAAGUCGUUUCGUGAUCCGGAAGACAAUAGAUCAUGAUCAAAGCAGACUUGAUGAAGUGCUUUCGCUGGCGGGAGUAAGGCAGUUCUAUGCUCACGAAGACUAACGUAAUUAUGGAAAAUUUCUCGCUCAGAGUGAAAAGAUGAAAGAACGCCUUAGUAGAAAAGAUAACCUAUUAUUUCGAAGUUUGGAGUUUGUAGAUGAUAUCCCCAUGGACACGAGAGAAUAAUAUUUUAGACAAUUAGCCCCACAGAUAAUGUCGUAAUUGUUUUGUUUUUUAGCCACACCAAAUUAGUCUAUAAUUUCCUAGCGAUCUCAUAAACUAUUAAGAGUGCUAUUGGCCAAGGAACAUUCUCAGUCGUUGGUAAUCCAUGCCUUCUCUUGAGUUUAACUUUGAUCCAUCCAUGGGAAAGAAAAACGAACACCUCUUAAUAAAACCAUUAGACUUGCAAAGACUAUUCUGUCUGAUAAAGUCCCUUUGGAAAUAACGAGUAGAUAGCCAGGUAUGGACUGUCAAUGUGCGGGGGCUAUACAUACAUGUGCAUUUGAAGGUAGAUGUGACACUGUGGAGUUUCCUCACGACGAACAAGUGAGAAAAAUGGUCUAGGGCAUCUUCACUCAAAUUCCUUUCCUUGAAGACUUUUAUAAUCCUUUGAGUAUAUGAUAAUUUAAACCACUGAGUUUAAAUUUGACUAUACUGAGAUAAUUCCCUAAACGUGAAGCUGAAAUACACAGGAUCCAUACAAGUGAGAAAAAACGUUAAAGCUUCACACUCGCUGAUGGUAUCACUCGCACUCUGCUAUGCCGAACCCGCUCUUGCUCUCCAGACGCGAAAGCUCACGGAGAGAUCUGCGGUAAUCUGGCUUUAAAGUCAAGUUUCCCUCCUCCACCUUCCCCUAACGUCACAGCAGGGAGUCAAAUAAACAUCGGAUCCGCUGUAGAUGCCUUGGAGGAGACUGGGACUCGAGGGAAUGCAGUAAACGCAGGAAACAAGAAUUGGUUCCCAUUAUUCACCGUGUUAGCAGAGGGAGUCAGCCUCGGCGUUUUGGCCCCCAACCAAAGGCUCAGUGGAGAGAGCCAAGCAUAUUGUAAUUUCUUUGCUGUGCUCCCUCUGUGCUUUAUCCCUUCUCUCGCUUCGGAUUCCUCCUUCGUCCAGCUCUUCGGUCCGUGAUCCUUCCGCAAAAGGAGAGCGAAAGCAUUGACCAGGAGGAGCCAGUACUCCUAAGGCAUUUCGCUCGAGGCACAGGACAGGACGCUUUCGUUUGACCGAAUCGCCUACAUCGUUCAGGAGGUUGUCGUGCCUGUCAAGAGGAUCACAUCAGCAGUAUAAACGAAGAUUUAUGAAAGAAGGAACCAAAAAGAGAGAAAAGGAAUCAAUGCAACAAUAAAAAGGACAAAACAAAAAGGCAAAACAAACCAGCAUAUUCAGCAGUGUCAAGUGAUCGACACGUACACAAACAGUCUUUUGUUUUUGAAUCUUUUGGCAAAAUAUCCCCAAGGAAGACAGCAUCAAGGUUGGGCGAGGAAAGUGGAACACGGAGGAGGCUUCCGGCCAGCGCAGGAACCAUUGCCACAAUAACGGAACAACUUCGCAUGCAAUAUAUAUCAGGUAAAGACUAAGAAAGGAGAUCGCCAGAGUGAGUAUCCUUUUCAGGGUUUCUGUGUGGUGAGAGUGAAUAGGAGGGAGAGGUACAGGGAAUCAUAAAGUUGUUAGAAUUGAUAAGGAU